rnacentral:rRNA from 1 species
CACGCCGUAAACGAUGGAUACUAGGUGUAGGAGGUAUCGACCCCUUCUGUGCCGAAGUUAACGCAUUAAGUAUCCCGCCUGGGGAGUACGUGCCCAAGCAUGAAACUCAAAGGAAUUGACGGGGACCCGCACAAGCAGCGGAGCAUGUGGUUUAAUUCGAAGCAACGCGAAGAACCUUACCAGGGCUUGACAUGCCGAUGACCGGUAUAGAGAUAUACCUUCCCUUCGGGGCAUCGGACACAGGUGG